UUGUUAUAAGUUUAUUUAAGGUUUCUUUUGUCUCUUUCGUGCGACAAAAGAGAACACGGCGAUCUCCACGAAGAGGACGACGGAGGCAACGGCGACAGCGAAGAGGGCGACGGAGGCAACGGCGAUCUCCACGAAGAGGGCGAUAGAGGAACGGCGAUCUCCACGGCAAAUCUCAGCUCGCGCUCACCUUCGCCAAGAUCAGCGUAUCGGUCGAGGACCUCGCCUCCUUGCCACCCGUCGCUGACGCCGGCGCGGAGAAGAAGGCCGAGCGACUCGCUCUUAGGGUUGGCGAGAACCUCUUCAAUUUCAUGCAGUCCUUCUGCGGGAUUGACGGAAGUCGGCUCGUCGUGCCCAUGGAUAUCCUUGACCGGUGGUUCAAGAAGUUCCAGGAGCGAGCCCGGAAGGAUCCCAGUUACCUCAAAGGUUUUGCCUUGUGACAGACAGGUGCAACAACUUGAAAGACACAAAGAUAUUGACAAACACAUAAACCAUCAUUUCUUAUUACGAGAUGAAGAG